rnacentral:ncRNA from 1 species
AAAGUCAGUGAGUUUCCUGAAGUCUCAUACAAACUUCUUCUAAAGAUAUAGCCACCCUUGGCUGAGGAGCCAAUGGGGCAAAGCUACCAUCUGUGGGAUUAUGACUGAAUGCCUCUAAGUCAGAAUCCCCCCCUGGUAUAACGAUAAGGCAGUGCCAUGGAGCCUUGGUUGACCUCCGUUGACCUCUGUUGGCCUCCGUUAACCUCAGAAAGAUGGUCCCCCACCAUUUCGGGCCCGGGUAUAGAGAGCUGAGAGCCCUUCCUCCUGGGAAACGAGUGCGUUGCGGCUGGAAAGGGGCUUGCUCCCUCACCCUUAAGGCAAUGCGUGUUCCUGGGGAACCUGGUACUAAGCCAUUCAGUAGAUGACCUGGUUCUGGGUCAGGGUUUCUACGUAGCAGAGCCGCUCCCUUGCUGCGAUCUAUUGAAAGUCAGCCCUCCACACAAAGGUUU